UACGUAGGGGCCUAGCGUUGUCCGGAUUUAUUGGGCGUAAAGAGCUCGUAGGCGGUUUGGUGAGUCGGGUGUGAAAUCUCCACGCUCAACGUGGAGGGGCCACCCGAUACUGCCAUGACUAGAGUCCGGUAGGGGAGUGUGGAAUUCCCGGUGUAGCGGUGAAAUGCGCAGAUAUCAGGAGGAACACCAAUUGCGAAGGCAGCUCGCUGGGACGUAACUGACGCUGAGGAGCGAAAGCGUGGGGAGCGAACAGG
rnacentral:rRNA from 1 species